ACACAUGCAGUCGAGGGGUAUAGUUCUUCGGAGCUAGAGACCGGCGCACGGGUGCGUAACGCGUAUGCAAUCUACCUUUCACAAAGGGAUAGCCCAGAGAAAUUUGGAUUAAUACCUUAUAGUAUAACGACUUCGCAUGGAGUUGUUAUUAAAGAUUUAUCGGUGAAAGAUGAGCAUGCGUCCCAUUAGCUAGUUGGUAAGGUAACGGCUUACCAAGGCUACGAUGGGUAGGGGUCCUGAGAGGGAGAUCCCCCACACUGGUACUGAGACACGGACCAGACUCCUACGGGAGGCAGCAGUGAGGAAUAUUGGUCAAUGGGCGCAAGCCUGAACCAGCCAUGCCGCGUGCGGGAUGACGGUCCUAUGGAUUGUAAACUGCUUUUGUACAGGAAGAAACACUCCCUCGUGAGGGAGCUUGACGGUACUGUAAGAAUAAGGAUCGGCUAACUCCGUGCCAGCAGCCGCGGUAAUACGGAGGAUCCAAGCGUUAUCCGGAAUCAUUGGGUUUAAAGGGUCCGUAGGCGGCUUAAUAAGUCAGUGGUGAAAGCCCUACGCUUAACGUAGGAACGGCCAUUGAUACUGUUAGGCUUGAAUUAUUAGGAAGUAACUAGAAUAUGUAGUGUAGCGGUGAAAUGCUUAGAGAUUACAUGGAAUACCAAUUGCGAAGGCAGGUUACUACUAAUGGAUUGACGCUGAUGGACGAAAGCGUGGGUAGCGAACAGGAUUAGAUACCCUGGUAGUCCACGCCGUAAACGAUGGAUACUAGCUGUUGGAAGCAAUUUCAGUGGCUAAGCGAAAGUGAUAAGUAUCCCACCUGGGGAGUACGAACGCAAGUUUGAAACUCAAAGGAAUUGACGG
rnacentral:rRNA from 1 species